rnacentral:rRNA from 1 species
UACAGAGGUGGCAAGCGUUGUUCGGAAUUACUGGGCGUAAAGGGCGCGUAGGCGGCCUUCUAAGUCAGACGUGAAAUCCCCAGGCUUAACUUGGGAACUGCGUCUGAUACUGGGAGGCUUGAAUGCGGGAGAGGGAUGUGGAAUUCCAGGUGUAGCGGUGAAAUGCGUAGAUAUCGGAAGGAACACCAGUGGCGAAGGCGGCUUCCUGGACCAACACUGACGCUGAGGAGCGAAAGCCAGGGGAGCAAACGGG